rnacentral:lncRNA from 10 species
CUCCUCCCAGAACCUUCUCUUUCCUUCCUGGUCCCAUCUCAAACUGCAGCAAGCUGGUCGAAAGCUUCCAGGCCACUCGGGAGCCCACCUGCGCCCCUCGUGAGAAGCAGCCCAGGAAGAUGUCGCCUUCAUGAGCACACCAUCUGGAGCUCCACGGUAGGGACGUCUGUGGAGCCGGCCCCAUCCCUCGGCCGCCCUCAGGCACCUCUAGAGCCUGGGACAGUCACUUCCUCAGUGAGGCUACAGCAGCCUCACAUGCACACCCCAGGCAAGAAAAUGCCCGAUCCCUCCAAGAGAAACGGCAAGUUCACAUCCACGUAAAAAUGUGCACACACGUGUGCACCACAACCUUGCUCACGAGAGCCAAAAGGCGGAAGCCGCCACGUGUCCACUGAUGGACGGCGGAUGAACACGCGGACCGUUCACCCAGUGGAGCACGACUCAGCCACAGAGGGAAGGAGAUCCUGGGGCAGGCUGCGACAUGGGUGCGCCCUGAAGAUGCCACACCAAGUGAAAUAAGCCAGACACGAAAAGCCACACAGACCCUGAGUGGUUCACUCAUGAAACAUCCAGAACAGGCCAAUCCAAAGCAGACCAGUCAUAGCCAGGGGCAGAAGGGAGCAGGGAGCUGGGAGCUCCAGCUAAGGGGUGCACAUUGCUUUCUGGGUGAUGAAAAUGUCCUAGUAGGCUACACAACUCUGGGAAUAUACUAGAAGCCAUUGAGUGGGUGGAUUUUAGGGUAUGUGAACUUCAUCUCAAUAAAGCUGUUUUUUAAAAAUAGAAAAGAGCAUCCCAAGGCCAGUGCUCUCUCAGAUCACUGCAGCCACAGGCCUCCUGCUCUGGGGGACCCCCCAUGGCCAGGCAGGGAUGCCAGGCGGUGCUCGGCUCACGCCACCUGCCCACUCAGCCAGGCCCUGGCCAGGAGCACCCACCAAAGCCCGAGGAAGAGGAUGGCAGCCUGGCUUUCCCACCUGGCCAAGCUGACUUCCUGAAUCGGGCACUCACUCACUCACUCGUUCACUCAGCUAAUACGGCUGAUGGUUGCAGGAAAGGUGGGAGGUGGGAGGGCAGUCCCAAGAUGGCAGCCACUACAGCUACCUUCAAGGGGCUGGCCUUCUCCAGCCUGUCCUCACUUUAAGCCCUGGGGUGGACCAGGAGGAACCGCUGUGUCCCUGGCCUUCGUCCCCUGCUGGAGGCCAGAAGAUGGGAACCCCCAGUGCAGACAGGCAACCGCGAAUGUGACUUCAGGUUCUAGACUGCAGAGGCAUGUGUUGGCUUGAGGCAGAGGGGCCCAAGGAGGUGGGUGGGGGCAGGAUGGGGCAGAGGAGGAGCCCAGGGAGCCAGGGACAGGAAGAGCCCACUCCUGCCCCAGCACCUGGCUGCUCAUCUGCCACCAGGUACGGAAGUGAUGCCAUAGAUGGGACACUAUCAAGCCGCCCCAGGAACACUGCCAGCUCCCAAAGAGGAGAACCAGAUGCCCCAGAUGCCCUCAGGAGGCAUCUGGAGGCGCAGGAGAGGCUGGAACACGGGGGCCCCAGCAGUCCUGUCCACCCGGCAUGCCAUGGCAAAGUGCAGCGUCCACUAUGGAGAGCGUCUUAGGGCAGGCGGAGGGGUGGAAAUAUGGUCAAAGAGAAGAAUUCUUGGCCUUGAAAGAACUCUUAGCCGGUUAGGGAGAUGAGACGGGCACUCACGUACACCGCAGCCCAGGCCCUGGCCACCACGCACAGGGCACUGCAGGCAUCUCUGCAGGGCCCCAAGACGCAGAGACGACAAUGCAGGGAAUUCUGGGGGUGCGGAGCUGUGAGCGGUGCUGGAGAUAGAGAGG